rnacentral:rRNA from 1 species
UACGGAGGGUGCGAGCGUUGUUCGGAGUUACUGGGCGUAAAGCGCGUGCAGGCGGCCGACUAAGUCAGGUGUGAAAGCCCGGGGCUCACCUCCGGAAGUGCGCUUGAAACUGGUCGGCUAGAGUACGGGAGAGGGAUGCGGAAUUCCAGGUGUAGCGGUGAAAUGCGUAGAUAUCUGGAGGAACACCGGUGGCGAAGGCGGCAUCCUGGACCGGCAUUGACGCUGAUGAGCGAAAGCCAGGGGAGCAAACGGG